CAGCAGCCGCGGGAAAACGUAGGGUGCAAGCGUUAAUCGGAAUUACUGGGCGUAAAGCGUGCGCAGGCGGUUUGUUAAGACAGAUGUGAAAUCCCCGGGCUUAACCUGGGAACUGCAUUUGUGACUGGCAAGCUAGAGUCUGGCAGAGGGGGGUGGAAUUCCGCGUGUAGCAGUGAAAUGCGUAGAUAUGCGGAGGAACACCGAUGGCGAAGGCAGCCCCCUGGGCCAACACUGACGCUCAUGCACGAAAGCGUGGGGAGCAAACAGGAUUAGAUACCCCGGUAGUCCCUGUCUCUUAUAC
rnacentral:rRNA from 1 species